rnacentral:rRNA from 1 species
AUUGAACGCUGGCGGCAGGCCUAACACAUGCAAGUCGAACGGUAGCACAGAGAGCCUGCUCUCGGGUGACGAGUGGCGGACGGGUGAGUAACGUCUGGGAAACUGCCCGAUGGAGGGGGAUAACUACUGGAAACGGUAGCUAAUACCGCAUAACGUCGCAAGACCAAAGUGGGGGACCUUCGGGCCUCACACCAUCGGAUGUGCCCAGAUGGGAUUAGCUAGUAGGUGGGGUAAUGGCUCACCUAGGCGACGAUCCCUAGCUGGUCUGAGAGGAUGACCAGCCACACGGGAGCUGAGACACGGUCCAGACUCCUACGGGAGGCAGCAGUGGGGGAUAUUGCACAAUGGGCGCAAGCCUGAUGCAGCCAUGCCGCGUGUAUGAAGAAGGCCUUCGGGUUGUAAAGUACUUUCAGCGGGGAGGAAGGCGGUGAAGUUAACAGCUUCACCGAUUGACGUUACCCGCAGAAGAAGCACCGGCUAACUCCGUGCCAGCCGCCGCGGUAA